GGGCGGGUGGCGAAACGGCAGACGCACUAGCUUCAGGAGCUAGCGGUAGCAAUACCAUGGAGGUUCAAAUCCUCUCCCGCCCACCA
rnacentral:tRNA from 1 species